UUUCUUAAUGUCACGGCCCAAAACUAUAUUAAAAAUCGUGCGGUCGGAUUUGGAGGUACUCGGAGGAUUUUUUGCGCAUGAAAUAAUAGGUUAAGGAGGCGUUUAAAGGCUAAACCGUAGUUAGGGUGAGUCAUAAAUAGAAUGAGUGGAUAGUAUAUGAUUUUAGAAGAAUUUAGGAAAAAGAAUUAUCAACAACGGAGUUUAGAUGGAGAAGUUAUGGUUGUGUAGGGAUUGACAGCUAAUAAAAAUUCAGAAAAUGAGUUGACAUAAACGUGUGGAAGUUUCACGAGCUUUUGGAUUUCUCAUGAUCGAUCUAGAUGGGUUUUGGGCCUUUUGAUUAGUACGUGGGCUGAUGAUUCUUGGUUGGGCUGGUGGAGGAAAUAACAACAGAGAAGGGGGGGAGAGACACGGACAGAGGAACAGAGCAGGGGUUCGUGCUCCCCCGCUCGUCCGCCAUGGGAGACGCCGAAGCUCUCUGGAGCUUCGCCGUACGGCGAUUCCGGCCACCAAUCCCAAAUCCAAGGGCAUGGGAAGAAAGAGGAGGGAAAGGGGAUUCCGUUCAGGUGGCUCCGGUCGUAGGAGAAGGGGUCGAAGGUGGCCCUCCCCGAGCAGCUACGGCCGCGGCCAUGGGAGCUCGUGGGGAGCUCACUGGUGCCAUGGAGAGGGAAAGGCGCGGCUUGGGGCAGGUUGAGGAGAAUUUGGGGGUGCUCACCUCGAGCGGAAUCGGACCGAGAUGGCCCAGGCCAGGAGAUCGACGGGGGUGCUAUGUUUUUGGGAAGAAACAGAGAAGCGGGGAAUUGGAGCAGCGAGGAAGACGAGCAGCGGGCUGCGCAGCUUGGUGAGCUCGGUGGUGGCAUGGAGCUGCACGAGGGCCUAUUUAUAGGCGCUGAAAGGCGGUGGAGGGAAGGUGGCAGCGGUGACUGGUCGGCCGGCGGGCUUGCAGCUCGCCUUCAAUGGCGUGGGGGCGGGUUUGGACGUCGUGGAGUGGCUCGGAGCGGCGGCGCGAGCGGCGAGGCGGGAUUGGACACGUCGGGCAGGCUGCGAGCGGCGCAGGCGGUGCUGUGUGGGUGUCAACGGUGAGCGGUGGCGACGUGACGCCUCGGGCAGGCGGUGCUGUGCCGAGGUCGCCGGUGCUGUGCGCGCACAGGGCGCGUGCGGCGAGGGCGGGCGACUUGGCACGGCUGUGCGAGCGGACGGCCCGGUGCUACAGCUCGCGCGGCUCGUCGCGGCGUGACAAGCGCGUGCGCAGCAGAGCAGCGGCGUGCCGCGCGGCGGCCGCGAGCGGCACGCCGUUGCGGUGUGCGCGGCGAGCGCGCGCGGGGCCAGGUUGUGAGCGAGCGGGCGGCUGGUGUGCGAGCAGGGCGCGGGCACGCGGGCAGGGAGCGGCUCGGGUGCAGCAGGGGUAGGAGGUGCGGGCCGGGGUGGAGCACGGCGCGCGGGCGAGCGAGCCGAGGCCGGGCCCGCGCGCAUGUCUAGGCGGCAACGGCGGUGCAGAGCGCCAGCGGCGGCUUGGCACGGCGGGUGCGCGCGCGAGCGAGGCCGUGUCGUGGCGUGUGCGCGGGGUAAGUGGGCGUGCAGCGGGUCGGUGCCGUGCUCAGCGCAUCGCGGCGCGGCGUGUUGAGGCCGCGUGCGUGUUGUAGGGGUGCGUUGCCUGGCGUGCUUUAGUUGUUUGCUUGCCUGCGUGCUGGGUGCGUGUGCGUGGGUCAAGCAUGUGGGUGUUGCACGGUUGGGCUCAACAGGAAGAAGAAGGACUAGCAAGAAGGAAGCUAGUUGGCGUGAUCAUGGACUAGAGAAGAAAAUAAUUAGGUGAUACUUAGGCCAAGGAAGGAUUAGAGGCUCGAUCAGAAAGGGGUUUAGGAAUGACUUGAGCUCAACAAUAAGAAAUUUUUUGAAAGAAAUGUUUUGACGCGUGAUUUAAUUCGGUAAAUUUUUGGGAUGUUAUAGGGGAGUACCCUGCUACAAGCAUACAACAAUAUACACAGUUGCUUUAACUGAAAUUCUUUACUGUUCUUAUUACAUGCGCAACCAUAAUUACAUCUAAAAUUCUAGCAUUUUUUAGUCUUUUCUAAUUCUACUUACUUUGUCUACCUGAACUAAACUAGGAUCAGUGCAAUUUGCCGAUGGUGCAAAAUCAGAAAGAGUCAUGGCAAGCAUAUGGAUUUCUUCAUGCUGCAGGAAUAGCAACUUCUCUAACAAAUAAACACAAGCCAACAAUGAUUUCCCAAAUGGAUGGGCUCCAGUGCAGCAUCUCAUACCCGAUGGACUGUUGCCGAUCAGAAAAGGUGACAAAAUUAGCUGAGGACAAUGCUAUGAGAUGGGUGAGAACAAACUAUGCCUCCUACUCCAAAGCAACCAGCACGAUGCAUGAGAAGUAUGAUAUGGAGGCCUACGGAAAAUCUGGAGGUGGUGAUGAAUACAAGCCACAGGUACGGCAAAAUAGGUUCUUUGGUCCUUUCAUUGUUGAUGAUUAGCAGUUGAGAAUGUUUGGUAACUGGCAUCAUCAUAGAUAUUACACGUUGCUAAUAAUCUCUCAAGCAAUCUCCUUCACAUA